AUGGGCGAAUCAGUGAGAAAGAUGAGAGGGGUUUUGGAGCUCAGAAAUAGACAGAGCUGUAGGUGGAAACAUGAAGAAAUGGAGGAUAUUUGAAGCCAGUUUGAGAUGGAAUGAUUAUGGGAUUGGUUAGAUGAUGGGUUUGUUGUCGAAAUCUAACAGAUGAGGUCUUUGAUUAGAGAGGGUUAGAAGAGACGAGAAUAGAGGAUCGAUCAGGGUAUGAGAUUUGUAAGGGUUUGUUCAAGAAGAGAAAAGGGGGUCUGCUUCUGAGAUAGAGAACGAGUUUGUGUUUGAAUCACUCGAGUUGAGAGAAAUCAUCUAUCAAUCAUUCUCGUCUGAAAUUUAGAGAGAAGUGAAGUAAGUUAUGGCGGCACCAUUAGAUCAGAGAAAUCGAGAGCAUCGACUGGCAGAGGAAAUGGGGAUCGAGAAAUCAGGAGAAGGAGGUGAUUAAUGGGUUUGUAAUGAAUCGAAAGAAGAUCGGUUUGCUGGUAUCUGAAAUUGUCGGAGGGAAGAGCAGCAAUUCAACUGCUGAAACUGCAAAAUGGGUUUCAAAUUGAGUCUCCGGAAGAUCUGAAAUGAUGGGUUUUUGGUUGAAUCGAAGAAGA